ACGGGGGGAGCAAGCGUUGUUCGGAUUUACUGGGCGUAAAGGGUGCGUAGGCGGCGUGUCAAGUCAGUUGUGAAAUCUCCGAGCUUAACUCGGAACGGUCAACUGAUACUGUCAUGCUAGAGUGCAGAAGGGGCAAUCGGAAUUCUUGGUGUAGCGGUGAAAUGCGUAGAUAUCAAGAGGAACACCUGAGGUGAAGACGGGUUGCUGGGCUGACACUGACGCUGAAGCACGAAAGCUAGGGUAGCAAACGGGA
rnacentral:rRNA from 1 species